ACCUAUGGCCAUACCACCCUGAGUGCACUGGAUCUCAUCUGAUCUUGGAAGCUAAGCAAAGUCAAGUGUUGUUAGUACUUGGAUGGGAGAAAACAUUCAUUACCAACUCUGCAAGGACUCUGGCCUGGGUA
ensembl:rRNA 5S_rRNA 5S ribosomal RNA